UCCGAGUUGACCCCGGCAGUCUCCUAUGAGUCCCCGGCAUUAUCCGCUGGCAACAUAGGACGAGGGUUGCGCUCGUUGCGGGACUUAACCCAACAUCUCACGACACGAGCUGACGACAGCCAUGCACCACCUGUGCAGGACCCUUACGGACACCAUAUCUCUACGGCUUUUCCCUGCAUGUCAAACCUUGGUAAGGUUCUUCGCGUUGCGUCGAAUUAAGCAACAUGCUCCGCCGCUUGUGCGGGCCCCCGUCCUUAGUUGAAUGUUCUAGGGAGACUGCCGGGCGAAAC
rnacentral:misc_RNA from 1 species